CUCGCGGGUCCCUACAGUCUUCUGGAGUGGGUUGUUCUGGGUUAGGAACCAGAUGGCCUCUUGACCCUGAUUUCAGUAACGCCAUGAAAGGAAACCCAAGGGGAACAUGAAGGAGAACUGAUUUUCCUUUUCAUUACUGGCUGCCUCACUUCUUCUCAGGGCUGCACUCACCUUUAUUUUCCUGCCUGCCUUCCUGGAGGGCAGUGAGACGCAGGCCCAGAUCCUUCACACAGGGGAGCGAGAAGAGAGGGAGGAAGAGGCUGCCCAUCAACAUUGCCACCAUGGCAGCCUCCUGCCCCUGAGAAAGUGGAAAUGCCCAGGCUUCCACAUUAAGGACUCAGAAAUUUCUAACACUUUACAAGAGGGAGGAGUGAACAGCAAGUGGUUUGGAAAUCACAAAUUUGUAGGAGCUCAGCAAGUGCUACUUAGGUCUAAGGGACACAGGGCAGGUUUGGAUUAAGAAAUGACACCAGUUUGGGGCCGGGCGCAGUGGCUCACGCCUGUAAUCCCAGCACUUUGGGAGGCCGAGGCAGGCGGAUCAUGAGGUCAGGAGAUCGAGACCAUCCUGGCUAACAUGGUGAAACCCCAUCUCUACUAAAAAUACAAAAACAAAGUUAGCCAGGCAUGGUGGCAGGCACCUGUAUUCCCAGCUACUCUCAAGACUGAGGCAGGAGAAUGGCAUGAACCGGGGAGGCAGAGGUUGCAGUGAGCCGAGAUCGCACCACUGCGCUCCAGCCUGGGCGACAG
rnacentral:lncRNA from 10 species